CAGGUAGUUGGUGAGGGUAACGGCCCACCAAGCCUACGAUCAGUAACUGGUGUGAGAGCACGACCAGUCACACGGGCACUGAGACACGGGCCCGACUCCUACGGGAGGCAGCAGUAAGGAAUAUUGGUCAAUGGACGCAAGUCUGAACCAGCCAUGCCGCGUGGAGGAUGAAGGUCCUCUGGAUUGUAAACUUCUUUUAUCUGGGACGAAAAAGGGUCUUUCUAGAUCAACUGACGGUACCAGAUGAAUAAGCACCGGCUAACUCCGUGCCAGCAGCCGCGGUAAUACGGAGGGUGCAAGCGUUAUCCGGAUUCACUGGGUUUAAAGGGUGCGUAGGCGGAUAUGUAAGUCCGUGGUGAAAUCUCUGGGCUUAACCCGGAAACUGCCAUGGAUACUAUGUGUCUUGAAUGUUGUUGAGGUGAGCGGAAUAUGUCAUGUAGCGGUGAAGUGCUUAGAUAUGACAUAGAACACCAAUUGCGAAGGCAGCUCACUAAGCAAAUAUUGACGCUGAGGCACGAAAGCGUGGGGAUCAA
rnacentral:rRNA from 1 species